GAACUUAAGCAUAUCAAUAAGCGGAGGAAAAGAAACUAACAAGGAUUCCCCUAGUAACUGCGAGUGAAGCGGGAAAAGCUCAAAUUUAAAAUCUGGCGUGCCUCUGGUCGUCCGAGUUGUAGUUUAGAGAAGCGUUUUCUGUGUUGGACCGUGUAUAAGUCUCUUGGGACAGGGCGUCAUAGAGGGUGAGAAUCCCGUCUUUGACACGGACUACCAAUGCUUUGUGAUACGCUCUCAAAGAGUCGAGUUGUUUGGGAAUGCAGCUCAAAAUGGGUGGUAAAUUCCAUCUAAAGCUAAAUAUAGGCGAGAGACCGAUAGCGAACAAGUACCGUGAGGGAAAGAUGAAAAGCACUUUGGAAAGAGAGUUAAACAGUACGUGAAAUUGCUGAAAGGGAAACGCUUGAAGUCAGUCACGUCUGCCAGGACUCAGCCUUGCUUCUGCUUGGUGUACUUUCUGGUUGGAUGGGCCAACAUCAAUUUCGACCGUUGGAGAAAGGCUUUGGGAAUGUGGCACCUUCGGGUGUGUUAUAGCCCUUUGUCGUAUACAACGGUUGGGAUCGAGGACUGCAGCAUGCCUUCAUGGCCGGGGUUCGCCCACGUACAUGCUUAGGAUGUUGGCAUAAUGGCUUUAAGCGACCCGUCUUGAAACACGGACCAAGGAGUCUAACAUGCCUGCGAGUGUUUGGGUGGAAAACCCAUGCGCGUAAUGAAAGUGAUAGCUGAGAUCCUCUCAUCAGGAGCAUCAGCGCCUGGACUUGAUCUACGGAGACGGUUCUACGGUAGAGCAUGUAUGUUGGGACCCGAAA
rnacentral:rRNA from 1 species